rnacentral:rRNA from 1 species
GACGAACGCUGGCGGCGUGCUUAACACAUGCCAGUCGAACGGAAAGGCCCUGCUUUUGUGGGGUGCUCGAGUGGCGAACGGGUGAGUAACACGUGAGUAACCUGCCCUUGACUUUGGGAUAACUUCAGGAAACUGGGGCUAAUACCGGAUAGGAGCUCCUGCUGCAUGGUGGGGGUUGGAAAGUUUCGGCGGUUGGGGAUGGACUCGCGGCUUAUCAGCUUGUUGGUGGGGUAGUGGCUUACCCAGGCUUUGACGGGUAGCCGGCCUGAGAGGGUGACCGGCCACAUUGGGACUGAGAUACGGCCCAGACUCCUACGGGAGACAGCAGUGGGGAAUAUUGCACAAUGGGCGGAAGCCUGAUGCAGCAACGCCGCGUGCGGGAUGACGGCCUUCGGGUUGUAAACCGCUUUCGCCUGUGACGAAGCGUGAGUGACGGUAAUGGGUAAAGAAGCACCGGCUAACUACGUG